rnacentral:rRNA from 1 species
CCUACGGGAGGCAGCAGUGGGGAAUAUUGCACAAUGGGGGCAACCCUGAUGCAGCGACGCCGCGUGAAGGAAGAAGUAUUUCGGUACGUAAAGCUCUAUCAGCAGGGAAGAAAAUGACGGGACCUGACUAAGAAGCCCCGGCUAACUACGUGCCAGCAGCCGCGGUAAUACGUAGGGGGCAAGCGUUAUCCGGAUUUAUUGGGUGUUAAGGGUGCGUAGGCGGAAUGUCAAGUCAGAGGGAAAAUUUCGGGGCUCAACCCCGUAGUGCCGUUGAAACUGGCGUUCUUGAGUGCGCGAGAAGUAGGCGGAAUGCGUGGUGUAGCGGUGAAAUGCAUAGAUAUCACGAAGAACUCCGAUUGCGAAGGCAGCAUACCGGCGCUCAACUGACGCUGAUGCACGAAAGCGUGGGUAGCGAACAGGAUUAGAUACCCGUGUAGUC